rnacentral:rRNA from 1 species
AAUCAACGCUGGCGGCGUGCCUAACACAUGCAAGUCGAACGAGAAGGUGACUUCGGUCACUGGAUAGUGGCGUCCGGGUGAGUAACACGUAGGUAAUCUACCUUCGGGUGGGGAAUAACGUCUCGAAAGAGACGCUAAUACCGCAUAAUGCAGCGGCACCUAAUGGUGAUUAGUUGUUAAAGCGGGGGAUCUUCGGACCUCGCGCCUGAAGAGGAGCCUGCGGCAGAUUAGCUAGUUGGUGAGGUAAUGGCUCACCAAGGCUUCGAUCUGUAGCUGGUCUGAGAGGACGGCCAGCCACACUGGCACUGACACACGGGCCAGACUCCUACGGGAGGCAGCAGUGGGGAAUUUUGGGCAAUGGGCGAAAGCCUGACCCAGCAACGCCGCGUGAAGGAGGAAAUCCCUUCGGGAUGUAAACUUCAUAAAGUAAGGGAAGAAAGCUGCGGAUCGAAUAAGUCCGCAGUCCGACGGUACCUUACGUAAGCCACGG